GGACCCGCACAAGUAGUGGAGCAUGUGGUUUAAUUCGAAGAUACGCGCAGAACCUUACCAACACUUGACAUGUUCGUCGCGACUUUAAGAGAUUGAAGUUUUCGGUUCGGCCGGACGAAACACAGGUGCUGCAUGGCUGUCGUCAGCUCGUGUCGUGAGAUGUUGGGUUAAGUCCCGCAACGAGCGCAACCCUCACUUUUAGUUGCCAUCAUUUAGUUGGGCACUCUGAAAGAACUGCCAGUGAUAAGCUGGAGGAAGGUGGGGAUGACGUCAAGUCCUCAUGGCCCUUACGUGUUGGGCUACACACGUGCUACAAUGAUAUUUACAACAGGAAGCAAAACGGCGACGUUAAGCAAAUCCUUAAAAAUAUCUCAGUUCGGAUUGCACUCUGCAACUCGAGUGCAUGAAGCUGGAAUUACUAGUAAUCG
rnacentral:rRNA from 1 species